rfam:Felis catus cont1.739182, whole genome shotgun sequence.
CUGCGUAGGCGGAGGGCUGCCUGCCCGGAGUCUCCCGCUGUAUCCCUGGCCCGGGCGCUGGGCUCCACCUGCUGAAAGCAGUCAACCGCUGUCCAGCAGGGCUGGGGCCGUUUCUCGGACGUCGGGGAAGCCUCUCCCAGCCCUGCAGCCUGGAACCCAGCCUCCGGCAGAGGACGCCCGAGUGAG